GACGAACGCUGGCGGCGCGCCUAACACAUGCAAGUCGAACGAGCGAGAGAGAGCUUGCUUUCUCGAGCGAGUGGCGAACGGGUGAGUAACGCGUGAGGAACCUGCCUCAAAGAGGGGGACAACAGUUGGAAACGACUGCUAAUACCGCAUAAGCCCACGGUGCCGCAUGGCACAGAGGGAAAAGGAGCAAUCCGCUUUGAGAUGGCCUCGCGUCCGAUUAGCUAGUUGGUGAGGUAAUGGCCCACCAAGGCGACGAUCGGUAGCCGGACUGAGAGGUUGAACGGCCACAUUGGGACUGAGACACGGCCCAGACUCCUACGGGAGGCAGCAGUGGGGAAUAUUGCACAAUGGGGGAAACCCUGAUGCAGCGACGCCGCGUGGAGGAAGAAGGUCUUAGGAUUGUAAACUCCUGUUGUUGGGGAAGAUAAUGACGGUACCCAACAAGGAAGUGACGGCUAACUACGUA
rnacentral:rRNA from 1 species